CGGCACGGGUGAGUAACGCGUAUGCGACCUGCCCGUUGCAGGGGGGAUAAUCGGGAGAAAUCCCGUCUAAUACCGCGUAACGCCGCGGGGGCUGCAUGGCCCUGCGGCCAAAGGGAGCGAUUCCGGCAACGGAUGGGCAUGCGUGACAUUAGCUAGUUGGCGGGGCAACGGCCCACCAAGGCGACGAUGUCUAGGGGUUCUGAGAGGAAGGUCCCCCACACUGGUACUGAGACACGGCCCAGACUCCUACGGGAGGCAGCAG
rnacentral:rRNA from 1 species